rnacentral:rRNA from 1 species
GUGCCAGCCGCCGCGGUAAUACGUAGGGUGCGAGCGUUAAUCGGAAUUACUGGGCGUAAAGCGUGCGCAGGCGGCUUUGCAAGACAGAUGUGAAAUCCCCGGGCUUAACCUGGGAAUGGCAUUUGGGACUGCAAGGCUUGAGUGCGGCAGAGGAGACUAGAAUUCCUGGUGUAGCAGUGAAAUGCGUAGAUAUCAGGAGGAAUACCGAUGGCGAAGGCAGGUCUCUGGGCCGACACUGACGCUCAUGCACGAAAGCGUGGGGAGCAAACAGGAUUAGAAACCCGUGUAGUCC